GACGAACGCUGGCGGCGUGCUUAACACAUGCAAGUCGAACGGAAAGGCCCUGCUUUUGUGGGGUGCUCGAGUGGCGAACGGGUGAGUAACACGUGAGUAACCUGCCCUUGACUUUGGGAUAACUUCAGGAAACUGGGGCUAAUACCGGAUAGGAGCUCCUGCUGCAUGGUGGGGGUUGGAAAGUUUCGGCGGUUGGGGAUGGACUCGCGGCUCAUCAGCUUGUUGGUGGGGCAGUGGCUUACCAAGGCUUUGACGGGUAGCCGGCCUGAGAGGGUGACCGGCCACAUUGGGACUGAGAUACGGCCCAGACUCCUACGGGAGGCAGCAGUGGGGAAUAUUGCACAAUGGGCGGAAGCCUGAUGCAGCAACGCCGCGUGCGGGAUGACGGCCUUCGGGUUGUAAACCGCUUUCGCCUGUGACGAAGCGUGAGUGACGGUAAUGGGUAAAGAAGCACCGGCUAACUACGUG
rnacentral:rRNA from 1 species